rnacentral:rRNA from 1 species
UAGAUACCCCACUAUGCCUAGCCUUAAAUCUUGACACUUCCUAGACCAAAGUGUCCGCCUGAGAACUACGAGCACAAACGCUUAAAACUCUAAGGACUUGGCGGUGCCUCAAACCCACCUAGAGGAGCCUGUUCUAUAAUCGAUAAUCCACGCUACACCCAACCGCUCUUUGCUUGCUCAGCCUACAUACCGCCGUCGCCAGUCCACCUAUCUUGAAAGAAUAACAGUGAACACAACAGCCUCAACCACGCUAAAAAGACAGGUCAAGGUAUAGCCCAUGGAGCGGAAGAAAUGGGCUACAUUUUCUAUACUAGAAAAUUUACGAAAGGGGGCAUGAAAUUCCCCCCAGAAGGCGGAUUUAGCAGUAAAGUUGGACCACAACGCCAUCUUAAAGCUGGCCCCGGGGCACGUACAUACCGCCCGUCACCCUCCUCGUAAGCUACCAACAUAAGUAACUAACACCAGUUUCCAGCCAAAGACGAGGUAAGUCGUAACAGGGUAAGUGUACA